rnacentral:rRNA from 1 species
AUGGUUGUCGUCAGCUCGUGUCGUGAGAUGUUGGGUUAAGUCCCGCAACGAGCGCAACCCUUGUGUUUAGUUGCAAACAAGGUCAAGCUGUGCACUCUAGACAGACUGCCGUGGACAACACGGAGGAAGGUGGGGAUGACGUCAAAUCAUCAUGCCCCUUAUGAUCUGGGCUACACACGUGCUACAAUGGCCGGUACAACGGGCAGCGAAGGAGCGAUCCGGAGCGAAUCCUAAAAAGCCGGUCCCAGUUCGGAUUGCAGGCUGAAACUCGCCUACAUGAAGUUGGAGUUGCUAGUAAUCGCGAAUCAGAAUGUCGCGGUGAAUGCGUUCCCGGGUCUU